GGGCAAACUAGAGAGAGAGAGAGAGAGAGAGAUAAGAGACAAAGAGAGGAAGAGACAGGAGGGAAAGAGAGACAGAAAUAGUGAGACAAAAGUGACAAAGAGCGAGAAUUAGAGAGCAACAGAGAUGGAGAGAGUGAAAGGAGAAGACAGGAAGAGUCAGAGAAAAUGACCGAGAGAGAGCGAGAGCGAGAGAGAGAGAGGGAGAGGGGAAGGGAUGAGCGACAAAGAGAGGGAGAGACAGGAGGGAAAGAGAGACAGAAACAGGGAGAGACAAAAGUGACAGAUGGAAAGAGAGAUAGAGAAUUAGAGAGCAACAGAGGUGGAGAGAGAGAAAGGUGAAGACAGGAAGAGUCAGAGAGAAUGACCGAGAGAGGGAGACAGGAGGAUGGACAGAGAAGGAGUGAGAUGUGCAGCGUGUCUGGGUCCGUGAUUCCCCGUUUGUCAGCUUGCUCUUCUAGGAAAUCGAAGAAAUACUUCACGGCUAGUGGUGGCUUCUCAGGCGGGAUGCUGAGGACGGCCUGGAAGAGGUCAUCCAGGAACUUCUGAAGUGUUCCCUGUAAAAGAAGAACUCGGUGGUAAAUGCACUCGUUGGGCGACUGAUUGGAAGGUCGUGAGUUCAAAUCCCAGAACCACCAAGCUACCACUGUUGGGCCUUUGAGCAUGACACUUAACCCUCGACUGCUCAAUUGUAUCCUGCCUCAAGAGUACACUGCUGUGGAUAAACGCCUCAGGCAAAAUGAGGUAAAUGUAAUAAGACAAAAAUACGCAGCUUCUCAUGUUACAAAGAAACUGGAAAGAGAAAAGUUCUUUGAUAUGUGGCGGAAAACUU